AUGCUCCGCCGCUGACACGUUGGGCCUAACUCAACCAUCCAAUGGCCUCCGCCUCCGCCACCGCCACCGUCUCCGGCGUCGUGUUUCCCCACGCCUUCCUCUCCCACCGCUCGCCGCCGCCACAGGUCUUCGCCGUGGCCUCCUUGUUCCGCCGGGUCUCCCUGUGCGCCUCCCCUCGCUGGACCACCCACCUAGUCUCCCGCGCCGACGCCAGCGCCGAAGCUGCUGGGGAACCGGAGCCUGAGGCUGAGGCCGAGCCUGCCACUGCCUCAGCUGACGCCGAGGAAGGGGAGGCCGAGGGGGCUGUCGCGGUGGCCGAGGAAGAGGAGGCAGAGGAGCCGCCGCCGAGCAAGCCGAAGUUUAAGUUCGGCGAAAUCAUCGGGAUUCUGAACAAGCAAUUCAUUGAGGAGGCUGAGAAGGUGAAGACUGUGCCAGAUCUGAGGCCUGGCGACAUCGUUGAGCUUAGGAUGCAACGGCCCAACAAGAGGAGAUUGUCACUCUUUAAGGGAAUAAUCAUCGCAAAGCACAAAGCUGGUGUUCACACCACAAUCCGUGUCAGAAGGAUCAUUGCUGGUGUAGGAGUUGAGAUUACCUUCCCAGUGUAUUCACCCAGGAUCAAGGAGAUCACAGUAAUCAGGCACAAGAAAGUGAGGCGAGCAAAGUUGUACUACUUGAAACACAAUCUUCCCCGCUUUUCAACCUUCAAGUAAAAUCAGAUAUGACAACAGAACAGCUUCUCCCUCCACCAUUUCGAUUUCUCUUAGCACACAAUUUUCACUUCCCUGUCCAAAUCAGUGCAUUCCACUGUAUUACCUGGAUAUCAAAUGUGUAAUAUCUAUGGCUUUAUAGCAUAUUUUGGUUUGCAGUGCAAUGUUUCUUUUGUCCUUAGUGUACAAAAUCGUACUAGGACCCUCUUAUUAUGAAUUUAAUCUCGUCCUUUUAUGAUGUCCUGAAUUCUUGAGUAUACGUAUAACCAUACUCUUUCUAUUUUCAAAUAUGUGACAUUUGUCGAGCUAAUUUGUCGUGGCUCUACAGCCGGGUGGCGUAGUGCAUCCGCCUAAUCCCAGAGGGUGGUUACUCGGGGAAGUGCAAGCGAUUACUCAGAUCUUCUCAUGAAGCAAGCACUCAAGAACACUCGAGGAUUUAGAGUGGUUCGGGCCGCCGGAGCGUAAUACCCUACGUCCACUGAGAGUUGUAUUGCUCUCGUGUCUGUGGAUGAGUCUAUCCUCUGCCUCCAAGUCUUUUCCUGGACUUGAGUUCUUCUCUAACGGGCGUCUCCCUUUUAUAGCGCAAGGGAGGCGCGUACACAGGUGUUGGACCCCGACAGGUGGGCCCAACGAGGAUGUAUAGUAUACCACGAAAAAGACAUUAACAGCGCUUUGUGAAUCUCUUGCCGGAUACGCUUCAUUGCCCUGUAGACUCUCUGACCGAGGGGGGUCUUCACCUGUCCCAUCGGCGAGGUGCCCAUUGAGGCGGUGUAGGUUGCGGCGUAGACUGUUGGGUCUACCACGUAGGCGUUAUGAUACUUCGUCGCCGAGCUGUCGUGUCUAACUGGCGUUGCAGACUGACGCGCGUGGCGUGGGUGGCGCCAGCGGCUGCACCGUGCGCCUCGGUAACGCGCGAUCAAUAGUACAGUCUGGCAAAAGUCACCUCGGGCUCUACUGUGGCAGAGCGCACUUAACGCCUCUCGCAUUGAAUGCGGUAGGUGGGCGAGUCUUCCCGAGGAAGCCUCGCAGCCGCGCGCGUGCCUGCGCCUGCGAAUACGUGGCGGCUCCGAACCCCCCAAGCGGGGUGUCUGUUCCCUCCCCGCUGAGGGGUCCGGAUAGUAUAUGGGGGUCCGGGGGCCCCGGCUGUUUUGGCUGAGCGUUCCCUUCUCCGGAACACGUGGCGUCAUUGGACCCUUCCCUAGUAAGGGACGGGUCCGGAGCCGCUGACCGGGUGAGAAGGGCCUCGGACUGCGAGGGCCUGGCUGCUCAGGCCGUCAGCGCGUAGUCAAGGAUAACUACGAGGAUCUCGCCUAGACACAACAACACCUCUAGGACACAUGGCGACACCGGACCCGUCCCCGAGCGGGAAGCGGGUCCAGGACCGUUGGUCUGGUGAGAUGGAGCCGGACCCCAGGGGUCCGGCUGCUCAACCCCUUAGGGCGUAGUUACGGAUAACUACGCGAGUCUUGACACAGCAAGAGGGGUACCCUAGUCCAGAGUUAACAACAUAAUUAGUUUGUUCUAAACAUCAUAUGUUUUAAAACGAUAUUUUCCUCGUAUUUUAAAAUUGUUAAAACGGAAGGAGAGUUAAUUUGUAGUAUGUAUCUUGCUAGGUAAAGACUAGUUUUAAGCCGGCCGUAAAUCUGCUGGUCGCUACGGCCGCCUCCAUCCUACCGCAACCCACCAAUUUAUUUCCCAUCACACCCCCCCCUCUCUCUCUCCCCCCAUCCCUCUUCACCCGACCACCCGUCUCUCUCCCCCCAUCCAUCCUCACCUCACCUCCUCUGCUGAUCCUUCCCGCCGCCCCUCCCCAACCCCGCCGCGCGCUCCCUCCUCGUCACGCCCCCUCCCCUCCCGAGAGCGCCCUCCUCGUCGGCUUGACAUCGCGGUGGACCACCCCAGCAUGGUGGCAUCCGGCGUGCGCCUCGGCGAGCUGCGCCACGCCGCCAUGACGCGAGCCGCGCGGGCUCCGGGAUGGGCGCACCUGCACGACGCCCGGGUUCGCGCCACCUCGCCUUUCCUCUCAUCGAGGUUUAGGUUCUCCCUCCUCUCCCAUUCCCUUAGCGAUUCGUCCUCAUUGCUCUCAGAUCCAACGAUUUUUCACGGUGGGAACUGCAGAUCGGAGGUGGAGCGUCGAGUUGCGCGUCCUAUGGUCAGAUGCCUCACGCCGCAGUUCGAAUCGAUGGAGGUUGGGACCGGCAUCCUCGGCGUCCUCCACCUGACAGUAAGGGACGUCUCUUAUUGCAGCAAAUCAUCUCUUCUUCAUGCUAUAGUUUGAUGGUUGUUGGUGCUGGUUGGGGUGGGUCUAAAUCGGACGGAUCCCUUGCGAUGGGAUGCCUUCGGGGGAUGAGAUUUAGGGGAUUCAAUGUGGGAUCCUCACCGAAUCAGAUAUUAUUACACGCUAUCCUACUUGUUUUUAGGAUUUUUGCACCCCAUUGGUCUCUUAUUCAACCCCCAAUAGCUGUUACACAUGAAUGCUUUUGCAUUCAUUCUAUCCUACAGCUCGCAAUUGUUAGGAAGUACCAGAGUAGUGAGGUGGAUUAGUUUUUUCCUUGUAUACAUAUGCUUUUGCAUGAUUAUAAGAAGCUUAAUUUUAGCAUAGUCAUUAGCUGAAUGCAUGAAGGAGCUCAAAAUGACAAGUGACCAACAUCAGGCGUGGCAGAACAUUUUCUUUAGAUAGUUAACUAAUGCUGACAGUAGGACAACAUGUACAUACAUCCAACUUAGUAUCACAUUUCAUUCAGUAGUGAUGAUCUAUACCUUACUCCCAUUGUCUCUUUAUUUGUAGGCAACUUAUACAAAAUCAAUAAGCAAAUUAUUCAGUUCAGUUUAGCAUUUUUAUGUUUUAACUUUAGCAAAAAUGGUAUUCAUAUCACAAAAAUAAAUGCCCACUGUGUGUUAUCCAGGGAUGCUUCAAAGUAGGCAACUCAGUGCAUUUAUCUAGGAAAUAAUAUGUUAAGAACAUGGCAACUCAGUGCAUUUAUCUGGGCAUUUUUUCCUUUAUUUUUAGAUAUGCAAUUCAAUACAGCAGAAGAAUCCCUACUAGAGGAAAAACGCACAUGAUAUCCAUGUUCAGGGACAUAGGCGCUCGACGCAAAGAUCAAGAGCGAGGCCAAGAAAAGAAGAGGAGCUUGCGAUUGUCCUCAUGCCCAAGGACGAAGGCGUGGUUGUGCCAAAGCCAACAAAUGCUCCCCCUCGGUUCUGUUGAAGCCUAAGCAAGCGGUGAAAUCCGCGUCCCAGACUGAGCAUCGAUCGAAGACUUCAUCCUGACGAGCGGCAAGGAGCACGAUGAAUAUUUUCACCAGGUUGAUAUUGCAGAAGUUCUAGGCAUGGUGGCAAGAUGUUGCUUUUUCAAACAAUCAGUGUGGAGUGAAAAUCAAAGCGCCCUUGGGAGGUGAUGCCCAAAAAGGUGUGUCUAGUAGAGAGAUUUGGAUAUGCCCCCAAAAUCUUGAGGUCUUCCUGGAGGCUGCCACUCAAGUUACCAUGGUGGUCGGCUCCCAUGGUUUGUUACUCUUCUUUUCGGUUGCUCCUAACUCUUGUCUGAAGUGGAGCAAGAUGGAGCUUCACGGGUGAACAAGGACCCGAAAUAAGUACUGAUGUGUUUUGUUGAUGCACCACCUUCAAAUCGAUGACUAAUUUUGGUCCAAAAUUGUUGUGAUAUUCGCCUGGCAAUAAUCUAAAUCUAGAAUGUUUCAGUUUUGCUACAAAGACGGUAUGGUCUAGGCAUUUCAUGCCCCUUGUAAUGUUGCAUCAACACUACACUAUACGCUCCUAGGAGAAAUCUAACAGUUUUGAGGCUUGGCAUAUCAGAUACUA